rnacentral:lncRNA from 1 species
GUAAGUUACAGAUUUAUUGCUCAGCCAUUCUUAGCCCUGAUGCUCUUCAGAAACUCACUGCUUUAUGAACCCAGGUCCCCGAGACACCUUCCAUUUGAUCCACAUCUGUCCAAAGAUGAAGUCAUGAAAUAUGAUAAGUAUUUCUUCUGAAGUUCAUGCAAAGAACAAAAACCAAAGAUACAAUCCAAGCUCCUUCCCCUUUGAGCUUAGAUAAAUGUGUCUUUUGAAUUGAGAUAAUAGCCCAGACCCUUUCUCACCCACCUCUGCCUCAUCUACAGGACAGUAACAACACUCUCUCAGAGCCUUCAAGGCAAAGGGGAGAAGAACAUUCUGCUGACCUGCAAGACCGAAGGUCAAGGAACAGACUUUCCUUGGAUUCCCUUGACCCAGAGUUUCUUCACUAGCUCUGCAGUUUUAGACAAGAACAAUGGCAGGGAAGGAUUCUCCCUUCUCUCAAAGACCUACUUGGGAUGGCAGGACACAGUGUGAGGCUGCGGACAAGAUCACCAGUGUCCAGCACUUUCUCAUCACAGCAUGUUGGGGGUCUCUGGCUGCAGAGAGCUUGACGUCAUAGUUAGGACAUUUUUUGGUGGCAAGGAACAGAGGCCAAUUCAAGGUAGCCAGGAAACCCACUCUCAGGCAAGGGACUGAAACUCGCCAGAUUGCUACUCCCAGACAACGAGAAGACAGACCCCUCAUUUGUCGUGAUUACUUCCUUAUCUCUCCUUCAAUCCUUCCUGCAUGUAGCUACCUUCCUUCCCCCACCGUACAAACCCCCCAAGUCGGGGGGAUGAAUUUGAGACUCCUCUCCCAUUCUCCUUGUUGACAUCACCUGAACAAAGCCUUUCUUUCCUGGCGAUACUCAUUGUCUCAGCGAUUGGCUUUCUGUGCAGUGAGCAAUGGGACCUAGACUGAAUGCCUGGUGCUCUGGUAACAAUUACAUAAGUCUAUUCUAUAAGAAAUGCCAUUACUAUAUAUUUCCAUAUCAUCUAUUUAAUAAAUACCAUUAUUAUUCCAUCUCCUGGUUUCUUAUUCCCUCCAGCCACUUGUCUAUGGCUGGUUGGGAAAGGAUGAUCUAUG